ACCCUUUUUUUUGCCAUGGAGCUGCACUAUAUUGAGGUUGCGGGAGAAUUUCCGCUAUGGCGAUAAACUGUCAUCGUAAUAAACCAUUCGGACCCGGGGGCGGUACCCGGCGCCUCCACCAAAAGCUGGCAAGGCCGCUAGUAAUUUAAGUGCAAGCCUAAGAUUAAUGGGUUCAAACAAAAAACCUAAAGGCAAGCACAAAACGAAUUACAAACAGGCUAGCCUGUUUUUGAUGGGGGCGAAAUAGGAUCGACGAGGGUGUAAAGGGUGGUCUUUCGCUCGGCAUGGUACCACCGGUAUCGGACCAUUACAUUAGUUGCAAACGACAACUAUGCUCCAGUUGCUCAAGCUGCUUAGUAAGCGGUGAUGUGCACUGAAAUAAAACUCCUAGUCAAUUAAGCCUGACUAGGCGCGGUUUGGAGAGCACCGGGCAACAGAAGCUCUCCAUU
rnacentral:tmRNA from 1 species